GGGUGUACAUGUACUCAGCUGUGUGCUGUGCACACUGGGUGUGCCUGGAGGUGUUCCCCAGGGGAUCCUGCCCCUCUGCCCCCUCAGCACUCCUUAUCUUCCAGCUGGAAUUGAGCACAAGCACAGCACAGGCACACACCCAAUGGCACACAAAUAUGGACUCACCAUAUCCAGACAACUGGAUAACUAUGGAGAAAAAGGCAAUUAAUGAUGCACAAUAAAUAAUAUAGUUUUCCUUGCAACAUUUGAAGCACAGGCUGGUAUUAACCUGCUCGGUGCCCUUGGCUCGGCCUGGUGAGGAGCCACGGCUGCUCUGCGCCUGGGCUUACACACAAACCCCAGAGCUGGUGUGUUAAUCAGGGAAAGCACACUCAGGAACUCCUAGACAGCAGCUUCUUAAAAUCUGCUUGGAAGAAAGUGAAGCUGCAAAUGUUGUUUUCUGAGCGGACGGAAAAAUGUGAGUCACUGAGGUUAUGGGUGUUGAAAUGGGGCACAGAGGGUCGGCUGGGUGGGGAAGGGUCCUCCCCGUCCCGGCUCUGAGACCGUACAGCUGCUCGUGAGAAUAUAAAUU